CAUUUUUUUACUACUCAUUUUUGGCGUCUACUUUUAAAUACAGCACAGCCCUAUGACAUAUAUUUCGUCAACAACUUAACAUAAUACAUGAAUCGCUAAUCGAAAAUGCAGAAGAGCACAUUUUCAAAUUUUUAAAUUCUGAAGGAAGAAUUCAAAUACUAAAUAUUUAUGUAAAGAAAAAAAAAAAAGAAAAAUACAAGUCCAUUUUAAUAAAUAAUAAUUAAUAUAGGAGAUGGAAAACUCGUACAAAAUUAGGUAAUCUAUUAUAUGGACAUAGUGUAGACGUCGACACAAGAUAGUGUGAAUCCCUAUACCAGAUAGUGUUAACUCUUUUACAAGAUAGUGUAAUCUCCUAAACUAAAUAGUUCAAUAGAAAGUUUAAACGAAAAUUCCAAUUGUAUUUAAAAAAAAAAAUAACAUCAGUCUUGUAAGUUAAAAAUACCGUUAAUAAUCCAACAAUCAAUUAAAAAUAAUAGGUCU